CCUACGGGUGGCAGCAGUGAGGAAUAUUGGUCAAUGGGCGCGAGCCUGAACCAGCCAAGUAGCGUGAAGGAUGACUGCCCUACGGGUUGUAAACUUCUUUUAUAAAGGAAUAAAGUGAGGCACGUGUGCCUUUUUGUAUGUACUUUAUGAAUAAGGAUCGGCUAACUCCGUGCCAGCAGCCGCGGUAAUACGGAGGAUCCGAGCGUUAUCCGGAUUUAUUGGGUUUAAAGGGAGCGUAGAUGGGUUGUUAAGUCAGUUGUGAAAGUUUGCGGCUCAACCGUAAAAUUGCAAUUGAUACUGGCAGUCUUGAGUACAGUUGAGGUAGGCGGAAUUCGUGGUGUAGCGGUGAAAUGCUUAGAGAUCAUACAGAACACCGAUUGCGAAGGCAGCUUACCAAUCUAUAUCUGACGUUGAGGCACGAAAGCGUGGGGAGCAAACAGGAUUAGAUACCCGUGUAGUC
rnacentral:rRNA from 1 species